UUCAUUACUUUAUGCGUAUUAGAAUGCCUUCACUUUAUGAUCAUAAUGCUGCAUUAUUUCGAUGCUAUGUCUCGUUAAACAACAUGAUAGAAACGAUCUCACAAUAUUUUGAAAUUCACAUUGAACAAAGUAUGCUAAAGUAUCUCCUUCCUAUAAAACCUUUUUUCCUUCUUCCAUAGUGUAUUUUUUUUAUCGAGUUAGCUUCAACUUGGGCGUUUUCUUUAUACUGUAAUCCGAUUACAAGGAUUGGAUAUAGGUUAUUCAAAAUUCAGCCCUAAGCUGCCAGAUUUUAAAUCGCGAUUGAAAAAAACCACGUUGGUAUUUUAUUGACUUUGUAUCGUGUUGAGAAUUUAUCAAAAUUGAUGCAUAUAGAAUGAGCUUCGUGGAAAAUUUUCCUACGUAGUUCUUUGUUUGUAUUCAAAUUUUGUAUCCGGAUUGGAAAAUUAUCAUAAUGAGGGUGGAAUUUGGAGUUUUAAAAUUUUUUUACUCGUAAAGUCAUUUUCUACGAGCUUAAAGAAAAUAAAAAUAGAUAUCAUUGCGUUUUGAAGCUCACUUUCGAUACGAGAAAAAAAUCAUUUUAAGGGCCUAAAAUUUCAAAAAAAAAAAAAACAAUUAAAUCACGAAUUGAAAUUUCUCAAACUCGAAUGAUCAACUUUUAAUAAUUUUUUUGGGUUUGAAGUCAUACUUUUUGAAAAUAAGAAAAAGAAAAAAUGAAAUCGAUGCCAGAAAUUCAUAAUUCGAUGACUUUUGAAUCUAUUCGCAGAAUCACAAUCGAAGAAUUUCUUUUCAAACGCGAGAAAUUGAUUCCAUGAUUGAUCGUGUUUCAUUCAUUUCACGUUGUUUAAUAUUUCAAUGUUUUUGCCCGCUUAUCUGAUACAAAUCAGGUGGAAAAGAAUGAAAAAUGAAGUAAAAAUUGAAAAUAAUUCAUAUUUUACAUCGCUGCGAGGAAAUUGGUUUUUUAUACCAAGAUGAAGGAGUUUGUCACCUAUAAUGUCAUGUUUGUGUUUUCUAAGCAGCUUUACUUUUCAUAUUUUUUCUCUUUCCGUUUCCCUCUCGCUAUUUUUUGUAGCAAAAAAUCUUGACGAAAAUGUUGGAAAAUAUGACGCUCGGAUUAUUUGAUACUUAUGUCAUCGCGUUCCAUAUACCGAUCACUAUUUUAUGUAUGGUGAAAGAUUCGACGACGAUAACAAAAACCUUCACGGUAUUCUUGUCUGUUAAGCUCGUCAAAUGGUUGACAAAAAUGUUAGGAUGAAAUUACAUUUAUAUAGAGAGGUUUCGUUUUAAAAGCUCUACGAAUAUAUACGCUUUGGUGAUUGAAAUCUCGCUCAUCUUUUUAAAACGCAGAGAGCUCUUUUUGCGUGGAUACUUUCAAGUUUAUAGACCUGUUCCGGCAACAGGUGUAAAUUACGUAUUUCGUACCCGUAUGGAAAAUUUUUUCAAUCCCACUGGAAAAGAUACAGCUCGAUUUUGCCUACGGCUGCGAGCUGAAAAGUUGCCUCAAAUGUGAGCGAAUUCGAGCACAGGACUAGCGCUUAAUUAUAUCGACCUUGAGGGCGAACCUUUAUGGUAAAAACUUUUCGCCUUGUCUGCCUUUGUGACAAAAACCGAAAUUACUUUGAAUCAUCGAUGCUUUUACCCUUUGAACCAGCAGCAUAGCGUCGUCGUCGAUGUAACGAGAUACUUGUAAUUAAGCAUGGCGAGCCACUUUUCCAUAUAACUAAGAAACCUGAGCAAAACUCUAGUACCUACGUAUAUAGUUCUACUGGCAAGGUUUAAAUUGCGAAUGGCUGUUAUCUCUGCUUUAAGUUUUCUACUUCGUGGGUAGGUGGGAAGAUGAACUAUGUCGUCGUUCGCCCUAGAAUUGCUUAAUAAAGGGUGAAGCUGAAAUUACAAGAGUACCCCGUAGCGAAGUCAUUGCGCAUAAUAAGUCUUUUGUCAUAUUUAUAUACGGCGAGUACACUAAAGACUUAGGUGGUUUCAUUUUAAAAAAAAGUAGAUUUUUUUUCUUUUUUAAUUAAACAGGCUAUGAAAUUUCUCCAUGUGGAGUUUUUCAUACCGCAGUAAACAGCAUUUCGCCAACGGCGUUGAAAAGUAUCGUAUUAUCAAAGUUAUUAGCUCGUUGAGAAAAGACCCUAAGACGCCAUUUUUUUUCUACUUGUAGGCUUACACGCGAUGAAAAAAAUAGCUAACAAUAGUUUGAGAUCUCGUACGUAUGUACCCUUAGCGUGGAAGUAAAUUUACCUUUCUGUUCGUUUUAUUCUCUGACAACCAUGUGAAACAUGGAUUUUCCUUAGACCCAAAGAGAUAAUCUUUACGAAAGUAGUUUUCUUUCUAAAUAGCCAUCAUUUAGGUUUCUAAAUAAGAUGUUUCAGUUUUACUUUUCUUAAAAUCGAUCCCAACCAAAGAAGGAGUUGUUUAAUCUACUUACUUUUUGUUUUGUUAUCAGAGUGACCCAUCGAAAAUUUUUCUAAUUGCGAAAAGAAACGAGCUAGCGAACAAGAAUAUAAGUACUCGUAGAUAGGUAAUUAGAAGGUGAAGUUUUUCUGUCAUCUUAAUCCCAUGUGAUAAGGCGAUGUUCGUAAAGAGGUAUCGUUCUGUAAAAUAUGUGUUAUAGCAUGUUUCGAAUUUCUCAUCAGAUCGAGUGUUUGGAUUUCAUUUCUUUUUGUACUGUCAAUAAGGGAACUUCUCGAUUACUCAGUCAGCUAUUUAUGACUCUUUUUUCAUCGGAGCUGGGAAAUCCCUCGCACAAAAUAAGUUUAGUCGCCUAACUGAAAUAUUGAAGGGUUCUACACACGAACGAUUAAAUUAAUCAAAAUUGCUGGUCCGAUAACUGCAGUCACGUUUCAGGACUUGAUUUUGAUUGGAGAAAAGAAAAUGACUUCCUUUAUAUGCUUUGUAAAAAUCUUUUCGUGUUGGGUAGUAAUUAUGAAGAGGAAAGGAGGGGGCUGGUUAAAAAAAUGGAUUCGAAAUUUGAAAUCAGUGCUUUUGAAACCUCAAUAAAGCAAAGAUCACGCGACUUUUUCAAUUUUAUAAAAUUUGGGAGCUUAUUGUGAAGAUCCAGGAAGCUUAUAGCAAAAAAUCGAGUUCAAGUUUGAAAUCGGCACCUCUGAAUAUCCAACAAACAACAGAUCACACACAGGCGUGUUCAUCAGUCCUGCAUAUCUUGCUUUCUUUACUCGUACUUUUGUCCUGUUUUUUGUAAAAAUUAUCAAGAAAAUACUGGUUUUUUUUUAAAUUGCCAAACAAGUCUUUUUUUCUCGUUUUUUCACACAAACAAAAAAGUUCUGUGUUCUGCCAGAAAUCAUCUUUAGCUUUUUUGAUAAUAUUAUGUACAUCCAAACGUAUCAAUUCUUGUCUUAGCUGUUUAGUCCCCUGUUUUCAAAAAUUUCUGAAAAAACUUGUUUUUUGACCAAAGUGCACGAAAAAAGUUACUCGUUUUGUCGAAAUGGCUGAAAAAUGUCCCGUUUUCAUUCAAAAUUGCCAGAAAGUCCCAUUUUUGUCAAAAUUUUCAGAAAGUUCCAUUUCUUACCAAAGUUGAUAAAAAAUUAUAAUUUUUGGCGAAUUAUCAAGAAGUAAGUACUUACUGAUUGUUGCCUAACUUGUUGAGAAAGGUCUUGUGUUUUUGUCAAAAUAGCCAAAAUUAUCAAAAAGGCUUUUGCAAAAUUGCCAAGAUGUGAGAAAUUUCUAUUUUUUUGCCAAGAUAUCCAGAAAGAAUUGAGUUUUUUCUUUAGCUGUCUAAGAAGUUGUGUUUUUUCAAAAUUUCCAAUCAAAAGUUCCAGACUCAGUUCGAAAUUAUGAAUGAUUAGAGGUAAAGCAGUUGAAUUGUAGGUAAAUCUUAGGCAACGUCAGCCAAUCAAAGAGUGUGUUUUUUUUACAAGUUGCAAAUUUAAAAAAAAUUCAAAAUUGCCAGCCUAUGAGCUUACCUAUUUCCAUAGAAAAUCGUUGUAAAUUUCCUCUAGUUCUGAAAGUCGACUCCCCCUCCCAGAAUUUGAGAUCAUAUUCGCGUUGAGGAGGUUUGAUUUAUUAAAGAAACUACGUCGAACAAUUUAGCCCAUGAUCACCUUUAAGAUAUCACGUUUUUAAUAAAAGAAUGUCUUCUCAUAAAAAAUUAUACUAUUCACAUCUACUGCUAAAAUUUGCUUGCGAGGAUUUUGGAACAUUUUUUUUUUAUUUUUCGAAAAUUCAACCAUCGUCGUUGAAUUCAGAACCACACCUCUCAGCAACCUUGAAAGUCAAUUUUUAAUUAUAUCUAAAUAAUGAAUUAUUGCAUGUACGUAAGUGGGUAAUAGUUUAAAUCGACAAAAAUAUCCACUUAUUCAUCUGAAACAACUCAUUUUGAGUACCUAUGUAUAAACCAGUCCGAUAACGUUUAUUAUGAUAAUAAUUCUUGAACACUUGAAAUUUUCACACGAAAAGCAAUAUCAUUGGCGAGAAUCAUGUAGGUGGGCAUAAAGACUCAGGUCGAAUAAGCCUGGAUUGAAAUUGUCAAUUGAAUUAUAAGUAUUAGUAGGAUAAGAAGUGAGGAAAGCACUACUUUUCAAACGAAAAUCAAGCAGAAUAUAGACCUAUCGCGGUUUUACAGUAAACUUGAACAUUAAAACUAAUGGAAAAUAUACCCAAAUUACCGGUGUGGAAUAAAUGGAAAAGACCAACAUCGAUCCCAUAUCCAAACACAUGGCAUCGAUUUACAACAAAAACAAAAGAUGGUAAAGUGUUGAAAAUGAAAAUUGUAGAUUUGACUCCAGAUAGAUUUGAAGAAAGUUUGGAAUUUCUGAGAAAUUAUUUCUAUUUAGAUGAGCCUAUUUGUAGAUCUCUGAAAUUAUUAGAAGACGAGAUAAGUGCCAAUAAUGAGAUGUGUAAACAAAGUGAGGCCUCACAGCAACGCGUCAGUAUCAUUGCUGUAUUGGAUGAAGAAAACUCAAAACCUGAAAUGGUUGGGUUGCAGAAGCUGCGGAUAAUUUCCAAGGAUGAUGGACCCCAACCGAAAGCAAGUUGAAUGUUUACCUAAAAAAUGAAUUCGAUAGAAUAGAAAAUGAAAGCUUUUUAUUCAUUUUCGUAUCUUGACUGGAAAUGCGAUGGGAAAACUAGAAAAAAUAUUCCGUGAUCUGUACCACAAUCGUGAUCCAUUCGAAAUUUUAGAAACUGAUGUAUUUUUGAAAGGACUUGGCCUAUGUGUGAAACCUGAUUACCAAGGGAUUGGUAUAGGCUACAAUCUUCUACUUUGCUUGGAAAAACUAGCGAACGCCUACGAUGUGAAAGGAUGUAUGACUACAUUCACUCGUAUUGAGUCUCAAAUUCUAGCUGAGAGAGUUGGAUUCAAAAUGUAUAACGAAAUAUCUUAUUCGGAUUAUAAAGAUGAAGAAGGACGUAGGAUAUUUUCAAUUGAACACACCAAAUCAUUUAAAAUGAUGGGAAUCAAGUAUUAGACCUAAUGACUUGUUACCUACCUAUGAUGGAAUUUUGAUAACGUGUUUAAGAAAUUAUUCAAAGUGAAAACGAAUCGAAUGUGAAUUUUAUGAUAGUUACCUUCAUUAUUUUAUGAAUACAAUUAUUAUUAUUUUUUAAAACUUAA